UACGUAGGGGGCAAGCGUUGUCCGGAAUCAUUGGGCGUAAAGCGCGCGUAGGCGGCCCGGUAAGUCCGUUGUGAAAGUCAGAGGCUCAACCUCUGGAGGCCAAUGGAUACUGCCGGGCUAGAGUCCGGAAGAGGCGAGUGGAAUUCCUGGUGUAGCGGUGGAAUGCGCAGAUAUCAGGAGGAACACCAAUGGCGAAGGCAGCUCGCUGGGACGGUACUGACGCUGAGGUGCGAAAGCGUGGGGAGCGAACAGG
rnacentral:rRNA from 2 species